UCNCCGCCUUGGUCUGCUGUUAGGUGAAUCAGUAAUAAGUGGUUGGUUGAAGCAAUGGUUAGACAGUUGUCUUAUCUAGCCGUGCAGGACAACGACAACCCAAAAAGGCUUCACAUUCUGCCUCUACCUCAAAAAAAAAAAUUCUGUGUCUUUGGGAUUCCUUUAUUUAGACAAGGCUAGAAGGUUUGAAAUACCGGAUAGUAUUGGAAGUGAAGUCUUUCAUUUAGUCUUAACAAGUGCGUUUGAUACUAUGUUUCUUUCUUUGUCGUAGACUGUUCAGUGGUUUCAGUGUUGUGAUGCGUCUUCAAAUAGCUGUGGUUUCAUGACUAUUUCAUUCCCCUUUUCAAUAAUAAGUCUGAAACCUGAAGAUGA